GACUUCUCCAAUAGCAACGAUUUUCUGCUGAUCCAACGGUCCAGAAUGAAGGGAGAGCUACACCUCGAAAGCACACGAACAAGGAAGCAAUCAAUCAAUCACUUCUGCUUUCCUUUCUUUAUUUGGCGCAACAUUGCUCAGAUAAGUGAACCAAAAUAAGCAAAACAAAACAAAACAGAAAAAAAGAAAAAAAGAUAAUAAUUCUGAUUUUUAUCUCUCCUUCAAGCAUUCUCUCUCUCUCUCUCUCUCUCUCUCUCUCUCUUUCCUCUCACUUCUCCCUCUCUCCAAAAUUUUGCAGCUUGAGCAGAAAAAGAAGAAGAAGAAGGAAAAAAAAAAAAAAACCCCUUAUCAGCAGACAGGAUAAUUCAACAAACGCUAGCACAACUCGGGUUUUAUAAAUUUUGUUAAAAAAAAUUUAUAAGUUAGUAUAUUUUAUUUUUAUUUGUCCCUCUGUCUCCGUCUUUUUCCUCUCACCUCUCUUUCUCCUAAAUAUUGAAGCUUGCAAAAGCCCUGAGCAGCAGCAGCAGAAGAAACAAAAACCCAAAAAGAAAAAAAAAAGUUACUUGGUAGCUAGCACAAGUCAGGGUAUUAUAAUAUUAAAAGAUAAAUAUUAUAUAUAUAUAUAUACACACAACACUAUACAUAUAUAGUGGUGAAUAGUUUUGAGUUGAAAGCUAGCCAAAGCAGAUGCAACGGGCAGCUGGUGGAAGCAGCAGUGGCGGCGGAGAAGUGAGUCGGGGAGGCGGGCUCGGCCGGUUCUGCUCGGCGCCGGCGACAUGGUUAGAGGCACUGCUUGAGGAGGAAGAAGAAGACCCAUUGAAGCCCACCCAGUGCUUAACUGAGCUUCUUGCUGAAAACACAGGAGCCACAUCAGUAGGGUUUGGUUCUGCGACAGUGGAUCCAGUGUCGUAUGAAGCUGCCGCCGCUGCUGGAUUUCUUAGCCGACAGAACAGCUCUCCGGCGGAGUUUCUGGGGAGUUCAAACGACGGGUCGGAAGGGUAUUUCUCGGGGUUUGGAAUUCCGGCGCACCUCGACUUCGUGUCCUUGUCCCCAAAUAGCUCUUCUCCUUCUGCUAAUAAGAGGGUUAGGGAGGUGAAAUUGGAGGAAGGUGGAUUGGAGGAUGCAGUGCCUUGCAGGGUUAGGGCCAAGCGUGGAUGUGCUACGCAUCCUAGGAGCAUUGCUGAAAGGGUCCGGAGGACUCGAAUCAGUGACCGCAUAAGGAAGCUUCAAGACCUUGUGCCCAACAUGGAUAAGCAAACUAAUACUGCCGAUAUGUUAGACGAGGCAGUGGAGUAUGUGAAGUUUCUUCAGAAGCAGAUUCAGGAACUUUCAGAGCAUCAGCGCAGAUGCAAAUGCAUAGCUAAAGAAUAAUCAGAAGAGGUGUCAUUAAUUUCAGUUACCUUCUUGCAUAGUGAUAUUGAGUUUCGAUGUGUAUGUUGUCUUGGCAAUAGAGGAGGAUUUCAGAUUUUGUAUCGUAAUCUAUUGGUUUCAUCCAUCCCAAGAGUUUCAUUAUGUUUGAUUACAACAUGUUCAUGAUCUACACAAUGAAGUCAGAAGGGUGAGCAUUUUUGCAUUUAAGGUUCACCAAUGCUUUAGUUUGAGCUGCACUGUCUUUAGGUUAUUUUGUGUGAAACGUAUAAUUUUGGAGCUUGAUGAUGAUUUCUGCAAACUGCAUCAUGAAAUUCCAGUGAUAUUGUAAUCUUUGUUGGAUUUGUCAGUUGCUUUGAGAUAGGGCUCAAGUACAAGAUGAAUGAAUAAGUUGUAAAUGUAGCAUUUCCCUGUCUGUUCUGAUGGGUGUAAUUGAAAAACAGAAAAAAUAGUAGAUAAAUAAAUAAAUAAUAAAAGGAUAUCUUCCCUUGUGUAA